rnacentral:rRNA from 1 species
AUUGAACGCUGGCGGCAGGCCUAACACAUGCAAGUCGAGCGGAUGAGGGAAGCUUGCUUCCCGAUUUAGCGGCGGACGGGUGAGUAAUGCCUAGGAAUCUGCCUAUUAGUGGGGGAUAACGUUCCGAAAGGAACGCUAAUACCGCAUACGUCCUACGGGAGAAAGUGGGGGAUCUUCGGACCUCAUGCUAAUAGAUGAGCAUAGGUCGGAUUAGCUAGUUGGUGAGGUAACGGCUCACCAAGGCGACGAUCCGUAGCGGGUCUGAGAGGAUGAUCAGCCACACUGGAACGGAGACACGGUCCAGACUCCUACGGGAGGCAGCAGUGGGGAAUAUUGGACAAUGGGCGAAAGCCUGAUCCAGCCAUGCCGCGUGUGUGAAGGAGGUCUUCGGAUUGUAAAGCACUUUAAGUUGGGAGGAAGGGUUGUAAGCUAAUAUCUUGCAGCUUUGACGUUACCAACAGAAUAAGCACCGGCUAACUCUGUGCCAGCAGCCGCUGUAACAC